CCCUCCCUCUGGCUUCAUGCCUAACACAUGCAAGUCGAACGAGACCUUCGGGUCUAGUGGCGCACGGGUGCGUCACGCGUGGGAACCUGCCUUUAGGUUCGGAAUAACUCAGAGUAAUUUGAGCUAAUACCGGAUGAUGUCUUCGGUCAAAAGAUUUAUCGCAUUUAGAUGGGCCCGCGUUGGAUUAGCUAGUUGGUGGGGUAAAGGCCUACCAAGGCGACGAUCCAUAGCUGGUCUGAGAGGAUGGUCAGCCACACUGGGACUGAGACACGGCCCAGACUCCUACGGGAGGCAGCAGUGGGGAAUAUUGGACAAUGGGCGAAAGCCUGAUCCAGCAAGGCCGGGUGAGUGAUGAAGGCCUUAGGGUUGUAAAGCUCUUUUACACGAGAUGAUAAUGACAGUAUCGGGAGAAUAAGCACCGGCUAACUCCGUG
rnacentral:rRNA from 1 species